GUUUUGGUUUGUUAUGUCAGCUACGCAGUCAGUAUCUGUUUAAACGACCGUAGAACUGGGGUGAGUUUGCCUGUGAUCUAUUAUAUUACACUACACAGGUAGUAUAAGUAGCAACUAAGUAUAGGUAUUGUAUUAACUGGGUUAUAAUGUUACCUAUCACUAAUAUAGCUCAUAACUGAACUGAGGAACGAGGUUCAGUUGUAGCUCUAUUUACAAUCAAUUUUAAAACUGUAAUCAACGGGUAUCUGAACUGAUAGAUGGAUAGUAUUUCGUGAUUAUCUUGUAAGCCGAUCUUAAGUAGUGUUUUAACAUAUGGCUUAUAGUGAUUCGCAACGUUGCGUCGUAAUUGUAGCGUGAUGUGGUAUUGUUGAACUAAUUUGGCGCAUUCCGAAAAGUCUUUGAUAUCGAAGUCUCUCAAUGAAAAUACUGUAGCCU